UGGAGUGUCGCCAAGCGGUAAGGCAUCGGAUUCUGAUUCCGACAUUCGUGAGUUCAAAUCUUACCACUCCAACCA
rnacentral:tRNA from 1 species